rnacentral:rRNA from 1 species
UACGGAGGGAGCUAGCGUUGUUCGGAAUUACUGGGCGUAAAGCGCACGUAGGCGGCUAUUCAAGUCAGAGGUGAAAGCCCGGGGCUCAACCCCGGAACUGCCUUUGAAACUAGAUUGCUAGAAUCCUGGAGAGGCGAGUGGAAUUCCGAGUGUAGAGGUGAAAUUCGUAGAUAUUCGGAAGAACACCAGUGGCGAAGGCGGCUCACUGGCCCGGUACUGACGCUGAGACGCGAAAGCGUGGGGAGCAAACAGG